AACGAACGCUGGCGGCAGGCUUAACACAUGCAAGUCGAACGCCCCGCCAGGGGAGUGGCAGACGGGUGAGUACCGCGUGGGAAUCUACCCAUCCCUACGGAAUAACGCAUGGAAACGUGUGCUAAUACCGUAUACGCCCUACGGGGGAAAGAUUUAUCGGGGAUGGAUGAGCCCGCGUUGGAUUAGCUAGUUGGUGGGGUAAAGGCCUACCAAGGCGACGAUCCAUAGCUGGUCUGAGAGGAUGAUCAGCCACAUUGGGACUGAGACACGGCCCAAACUCCUACGGGAGGCAGCAGUGGGGAAUAUUGGACAAUGGGCGCAAGCCUGAUCCAGCCAGGCCGCGUGAGUGAUGAAGGCCUUAGGGUUGUAAAGCUCUUUCACCGGAGAAGAUAAUGACGGUAUCCGGAGAAGAAGCCCCGGCUAACUUCGU
rnacentral:rRNA from 1 species